GAUGAACGCUGGCGGCGUGCCUAAUACAUGCAAGUCGAGCGAACGGACGAGAAGCUUGCUCCUCUGACGUUAGCGGCGGACGGGUGAGUAACACGUGGAUAACCUACCUAUAAGACUGGGAUAACUUCGGGAAACCGGAGCUAAUACCGGAUAAUAUAUUGAACCGCAUGGUUCAAUAGUGAAAGACGGUCUUGCUGUCACUUAUAGAUGGAUCCGCGCUGCAUUAGCUAGUUGGUAAGGUAACGGCUUACCAAGGCAACGAUGCGUAGCCGACCUGAGAGGGUGAUCGGCCACACUGGAACUGAGACACGGUCCAGACUCCUACGGGAGGCAGCAGUAGGGAAUCUUCCGCAAUGGGCGAAAGCCUGACGGAGCAACGCCGCGUGAGUGAUGAAGGUCUUCGGAUCGUAAAACUCUGUUAUUAGGGAAGAACAUAUGUGUAAGUAACUGUGCACGUCUUGACGGUACCUAAUCAGAAAGCCACGGCUAACUACGUG
rnacentral:rRNA from 1 species